rnacentral:rRNA from 1 species
UACGGGGGGGAGCAAGCGUUGUUCGGAUUUACUGGGCGUAAAGGGCGCGUAGGCGGCACCGCAAGUCGACUGUGAAAUCUCCGGGCUUAACUCGGAAAGGUCAGCCGAUACUGGCGGGCUAGAGUGCAGAAGGGGCAACUGGAAUUCUCGGUGUAGCGGUGAAAUGCGUAGAUAUCGAGAGGAACACCUGCGGCGAAGGCGGGUUGCUGGGCUGACACUGACGCUGAUGCGCGAAAGCUAGGGGAGCGAACGGG